AGUGAAGAGAAAAAGAUUUUGACUGAUUAAUUUACAUCUGCAAUAAGCUAGAUCCUGGACUGCUUAUUGGAUAUGAGGAACUGGAAGGCAAAUUUAGGUCUGGUAAUUACAGCUGGAUAUAAUAGCAAGUUGCUGUUCUGUUUAUGGUUCUCAGCCAAUUUGUGAGUGUGAUAUGGAUGCUAGGUUGAUUGAAGACCAAAUACUACCAGAUACUUGAAACUACUAGAUUAUGGAUCUGUCUUGUACAUACGUUGGAUCUUUUCCUAACUUUUCUACCAGUUCCUUAUUUGCUAAUUCUCGAUGUUAGCAGCACUUCAUCAAAAGUUUCAUUUGAGCAAGUU
rnacentral:misc_RNA from 1 species